GCUUUGAUCUGGCUAAGCCUGCCUUUGGAUUUUUGUCAGGCAGUGGUUAUGGACGAAGGUAGUAUCGGGCAUGGUGGAGAAGCUGAAGGCAACAGUCUUUUGCUAACCACAUAUUAAUUCACAACUACAAUGAAGAGAGGUAAGGCUGAACUGGCUGACCAAAGGCCCCAUCAACUAAGUGUCACUCGAGUCAGAGUCAAAGAGCUCCCAUGUCUCUGGGACAAUGUCUACAUUUCCACCUCCAGAAACCUGGCCACACAGAAAAGGCGGCAAAACAUAUUCAGGACACUAAAUGAGAA